rnacentral:rRNA from 1 species
CCUACGGGAGGCUGCAGUGGGGAAUAUUGGACAAUGGGGGGAACCCUGAUCCAGCCAUGCCGCGUGUGUGAAGAAGGCCCUCGGGUUGUAAAGCACUUUCAGUGAGGAAGAACGCCUGGUGGUUAAUACCCAUCAGGAAAGACAUCACUCACAGAAGAAGCACCGGCUAACUCCGUGCCAGCAGCCGCGGUAAUACGGAGGGUGCGAGCGUUAAUCGGAAUUACUGGUCGUAAAGCGCGCGUAGGUGGCUUGAUAAGCCGGUUGUGAAAGCCCCGGGCUCAACCUGGGAACGGCAUCCGGAACUGUCAAGCUAGAGUGCAGGAGAGGAAGGUAGUAUUCCCGGUGUAGCGGGGAAAUGCGUAGAGAUCGGGAGGAAUACCAGUGGCGAAGGCGGCCUUCUGGACUGACACUGACACUGAGGUGCGAAAUCGUGGGUAGCAAACAGGAUUAGAUACCCCGGUAGUC